UGAUGGUACAGACAAUGUGUACUGUUUACGCUGGGAUAGCGGUCUAUUGACUAAGCGUAUGUUAAGUACGCCGUACCCAGUGGGGCCGUCCGAGAAGGGCGGCCUUUUACAUUUA
rnacentral:sRNA from 1 species